rnacentral:rRNA from 1 species
UACGUAGGGGGCAAGCGUUGUCCGGAAUUAUUGGGCGUAAAGAGCGCGUAGGCGGUCCGAUAAGUCGGCUGUGAAAGUCAGGGGCUCAACCCUUGAAAGCCGGCCGAUACUGUCGGACUAGAGUCCGGAAGAGGCGAGUGGAAUUCCCGGUGUAGCGGUGAAAUGCGCAGAUAUCGGGAGGAACACCAAUGGCGAAGGCAGCUCGCUGGGACGUUACUGACGCUGAGACGCGAAAGCGUGGGGAGCAAACAGG